CACUUUCCAUUUGCUCUCGAGCGCAGGCAUCACAGUGAUGGUGAAGUUCCUCUCCUAUUCACCUCAUCAUCCAGUGGAUGGAAUAAAACAAUUUUAAACCACGAUGUCACGUGCAUAUUUAGCAGAAAUGUCGUGGAUUUGAUUUUUAAUCGCGGAAGCUCGUAUAUCCAUUUCACAUAGAGAUGUCUGGCGACCUACAGUACUUAUAAUGCCACUGAGAUUCCAAGGGCCAUAUGCAGCUCGAGUAGUCACUCGCCCUCAGGAGGAAGUAAACGCAGUGCAGGCUCUGAGUCUGAUGCAACACGAGGGGUGGCAGAAGAAUGGAAGAUGAUCUAAAUGAAUGAAACAAUCUGAUCCGGAUCCUUUCGUAUCAACGAUGGUGAAACGCCAGUCAGAGCUCACAACUCCAACACCUUAUAUUUGUGAGCACCUAUGUCCUGAUAGUUCCAAUUCAAGGGGUAAAAUAUAAUAGAAAGAUAUCGAAUAAAAUCUAAUAUAUAAAAAUACAAAACAUAGACAGUAUAUAUAUAUAUAUAUAUAUAUCAAUCUUAAUGUUUACAUGGGCUUACAUUUUUAAAAUGUAAAUAAACAUUGA